UUAAAAUUAAGUAAGUUAAAAUUAGAGUAGUAAUAGUUAUGUUCUUAAAACUUAAAAAAUUUGGCGGUAUUUUAUUCUUAUCAGAGGAACUUGUUUUAUAAUUGAUAAUCCCCAUUGUAUCUUACUUAAAUUUGUAUAAUUUGUAUAUCGUUGUCAUAAGAAAAUCUUAUAAAAGUAAUAAUUUUCUAAGUUAAAAAUAAUUUUUUAUGUCAGAUCAAGGUGCAGUUUAUAUUUAAGUAAAAAUGAGUUACAAUAUAUUAAUAUAUAAUUAUGAAUUAGAGAUUGUAAAAUUUUUAUGAAGGUGGAUUUGAUAGUAAAUUUUUAAAGAUUAUAAAAUUGAUUAUAGUUUUAAAAUGUGC
rnacentral:rRNA from 1 species